rnacentral:misc_RNA from 1 species
UUAAUUAAAGCAGCCCAUCACUUUGCUUAGAAAACUGAAAAAGAAUGAUUCUCUCUCAAAAGGAAACCCCAAAGGAACCUCUUAAUCUUAAAGACUACUUUACUCAUAUACAUAUAAUUAGAUCAAUAAUUCAACCUUAUUUUCAUCUGUUUCAGAAGCAAGACAAAACUUAGCUCGAUGGAAACCGAGGAUGAAGCUGCCAUCAACUUCUCUUACGAUGAUUUCGAGCCCUUCUGCAGGUGGCGAAGAGAGGAGAAUUGUGACUUGCUUGAGGUCCAUGGUCUCCAAGAUUUCAAAAGGGAGCAACUCAACGUGAGAAUGAAGCUCGGCACCUUAAUCAUAACAGGAGAACUCCCUCGGAAGAAUAAUAUUAGAAGUCGUUUCAGAAAAGAAAUCAGAAUUCCCAAAAAUUGCAAAAUGGAAGAGAUUCGAGCAAAGUUUAAGAAAAGAGGAAUUCUGUGUAUAUCAUUGCCUAAGAAAACCUCCUCAGCAUCAUCCAAGAAAGGAAGCAAUACUAGAGAUGAAAAAAAAUGUUCGCCAUCAAAUUUCUUGGCUGUGGCUGUGGUCAUACUUUCCAUGGCUAUUGCUGCAUUUGCGUACAAAUACUACUUGAGGGCUAAUUGAAUUCAAUAUAUAGUCUAAAUAUUGAAUAUAUAUAUGUGUGUGGUUUUGCCGUUUUGGCUUUUAAAUGUGAAUCACACUAUGCACUACCUCUUUAAUUCAAGAAAAUUUGAUUAAAUUCUCUUUUAUAUUGUAGUAAUGUAUCGCAG